rnacentral:lncRNA from 1 species
UAGGUCGUUACUCUUUAAUUAGCAAGCAAGAUCAUGAAGAUCUAUUUACAGUGAAGUUUAUAAAUUUUGGUUUUUUUAAUCAAGUAAUAUCAAUUUUACCGAGAUCGAUAUUAGGAGGCCUCCGAGUUUGGCGGAGUGACCUCGACGGGCGAAACGGCGAUGGCAUUGUGUUACCCAGACCAGGCAACGGCAGUUCGGCUUAGGAGGGGCGGCGCCUUGGCUGUGUCUUCCUUCAAGGCGGUGGUGAUCGAUCCUAGUGGAGAUAGGCUCCCGUCGCUGCAGUGCUAAGGCGUUGGCGGCUGAGGGUGUUGUGAUAAGGCGGUGAUCGGGGGCUCGAUAGGGUUUGCGAUCAGGGUGAUUGCAGGGGUUCUGUACGGCGGUAGUGAUCUGGUUCCUAGCAAUGGCCCGAUCCAGGUUUUCGUCUGGGGUACGGCUUUGGUGCUCAGGCUUCGAUCGUGAGCGUGCGGCGUUUACAUCUCUCAAUGGCGGCGGUCUGCUCUGAGGCGGCGGCUCUGAAGAAGGCAGUCCGACCGUUGUUUGCUCUCCAGGUCAGGGUCCAAGGAGUUAUCUUCUUUUGAUUUUGGCGAUGGUGGAGGAUAGGGGCGGCCGCCGGAUUGUUGACGGGCGGAGGCUCCCUCGAGGGCUGGCGCUGCAUCUUGAUCUAGGGGGAUGUGGGUGGAUGUAUGGUUGCAGCAAUGUAGCCUAGCUGGGCUAGCCCACUAUCUCUCUUUUCCUUUUGGAUCAGGCUUGGUGUAGGACUUUGGGGAGUGAUGUAGGCCUAUGCUAUUUUUGACUGAAGAUGUCCCGGUUGUGGGUGCUGCGACGUACACCCUUGAGGUCUUUAGGGGUCAAAGUUCUAAGGCAGUGCUUUGAUCAAAUAUUGUGUAGGCAUAGG